GCAGUGGUGGGGCGGCGCCCUAGCGCCCUCUAUGAGCCGGCCGCUGCUGGUUUGCCCCAAUAACGGAUUCACCAGGAAAUCAUCAGCAAAGAAGACAACCUUCCUUCGUGACAACAACUUACGCUUUGCUGAGGACUUAUCAACUGAGGACAGAGAAAAGUCAAAUAAAUUUCGGCCAGCAGUAGAAAAAGCUCGUGUCUUCAUGUACAUCAGGAGAUGUAGAACGGGCACUCCAUGAUGGGGAGGCCACAGGAAGUGUUUCGGAAUGAGAAGCUCCAGGAAGUGGUGCUGGCAGGGGCAAGGCCACAGAAAGUGGUUCUGGCAGGGGCAAGGCCACAGGAAGUGGUUCUGGCAGGGGCAAGGCCACAGGAUGUGGUGCCGGCAGCAGCAAGGCCACAGGUGUGGGGUUGUUUGUGGAAGCAGUCUGUAAAGGAUCAAGU